GCCGAAGUGGCGGAACUGGCAGACGCGCCAGAUUCAGGGUCUGGUGGGGAGUUUCCCCGUAGGGGUUCAAAUCCCCUCUUCGGCA
rnacentral:tRNA from 1 species